AAUUCAAAAAUGAAUGAGUUGAUUGCAAUUUAAUCUGUUUUUUUAUCAUUUUUUUCCCAAAAAUGGGGCAAAAUGGUACGCCACGAAGCGUGGUAAAUGUGGUUGUCUUCGCUGUUUUUUCCCAUCACAACCAAAUCUUCAUCAUCAACUAAUCAAGCUUAUCACCGAGUUACUCUCCACAAGCUUAUCAUCUCUCUCCACCAGCUUACCGAGUGGCAAGCUGGUGGAGACACUAAAACCACAAACCGGUAAGAAAGUCUUAUCUUGUCACGAAGCAGUGACCACGAACCACGACCCGACUUCCGUUCGUCAAAGAAGUUUUACUCUUUGUUCACAUCUGAUUGAAGUGUGACGAUGGCCGUCCCUGCAAAAUUCCUGGUAACCCAGCUCUCUGAUGAGAACUAUAAUUCUUAUUUGUGCGAGAAAAUUCAAGAAAAAUGGGACAUUUUAGAGGUGGGUCAUCAUAUUCAUCAAGAAGUCAUCAAGAAAUUUUUAA